UUUACUGGGCCUCUCCGCUCCCUCUGCUCUUGGAGGUGCCAUGAGGUCAGUUAGCUACGUGCAGCGCGUGGCGCUGGAGUUCAGCGGGAGCCUCUUCCCGCACGCAAUCUGCCUCGGAGACGUUGAUAACGAUACGUUAAAUGAACUGGUGGUGGGAGACACCAGCGGGAAGGUGUCUGUGUAUAAAAAUGAUGACAGUCGGCCAUGGCUCACCUGUUCCUGCCAGGGAAUGCUGACUUGCGUUGGGGUUGGAGACGUGUGUAAUAAAGGAAAGAACCUGUUGGUGGCAGUGAGUGCUGAAGGCUGGUUUCAUUUGUUUGACCUGACACCUGCCAAGGUGUUGGAUGCUUCUGGGCACCACGAGACACUAAUUGGAGAGGAGCAGCGUCCAGUCUUCAAGCAGCACAUCCCCGCCAACACCAAGGUCAUGCUGAUCAGCGACAUCGAUGGAGAUGGGUGUCGUGAGCUGGUGGUGGGCUACACAGACCGUGUGGUGCGAGCUUUCCGCUGGGAGGAGCUAGGUGAGGGUCCUGAACAUCUGACAGGGCAGCUGGUGUCCCUCAAGAAAUGGAUGCUGGAGGGUCAGGUGGACAGCCUCUCAGUGACUCUGGGGCCACUGGGUCUUCCUGAACUGAUGGUGUCUCAGCCAGGCUGUGCUUAUGCAAUUCUACUGUGUACCUGGAAAAAGGACACUGGGUCCCCUCCUGCCUCUGAAGGGCCCAUGGAUGGCAGUAGGGAGACCCCAGCUGCCCGAGACGUGGUGCUGCACCAGACAUCUGGCCGUAUCCACAACAAGAAUGUCUCCACUCACCUAAUUGGCAACAUCAAACAAGGUGAAAGUGUGGCCACGGCACUGAGAGUAGUGGCUCUGGCCUCUUUGCCCUGUGCACCCUGGAUGCCUGCCUCUCCCCCGGCAGGGACACUGAAGCUCAUGGAAGAAAUGGAAGAAGCAGACAAGCUGCUGUGGUCAGUGCAGGUGGAUCACCAGCUUUUUGCCCUGGAGAAAUUGGAUGUCACCGGCAACGGGCAUGAGGAGGUAGUUGCAUGCGCCUGGGAUGGACAGACAUAUAUCAUUGAUCACAACCGCACCGUCGUCCGCUUCCAAGUGGAUGAAAAUAUCCGUGCCUUCUGUGCAGGCCUGUACGCCUGCAAAGAGGGCCGCAACAGCCCCUGCCUCGUAUAUGUCACUUUCAACCAGAAGAUCUAUGUGUACUGGGAGGUGCAGCUGGAGCGGAUGGAGUCUACCAAUCUGGUGAAACUGCUGGAGACCAAGCCAGAGUACCACAGCCUGCUGCAGGAGCUGGGCGUGGAUCCUGACGACCUCCCUGUGACUCGUGCCCUGCUUCACCAAACGCUCUACCAUCCAGACCAGCCACCACAGUGUGCUCCCUCAAGCCUCCAGGAUCCCACCUAGCUGUACUUGCCUCAUAGCUGGUGAAGGAUUCUUCUGAACCCCCACCCUACCCCCUAAAGGCAGGGAGGAAGACCAGAGAAGAACAUCGACAUAGAGAAACAAGAGUUUAUUCCAAUGGAGAAGCAGCUGAGCCGAGGGCUUGCCAUUGGGCCUGGGGUCUGCAGUUACAGAAGCAGCAGGAGGCAGACAAGGAAAGGCACAGCACAAGACCCAGGAAAGCGGACCUUGUGGAGCAAGGCAGUGAAGGUGAGGAAAGCUUUUAGGAUUUUGAGACCAGGUGCUAUGGCACACGUGAUAAGUGAGCCCUCUCCUUUCCUUCUGAGGGCAGGGGAGGCAGCUGAGAAAGGGCAGGCCAAGUGUCACAGGCAGCUCCUUGCAUCCCGGUUCUUCUCUAACCCAGUCAACCCCAGGCUCAAGACUGUUUCAGCCCAACGGUCCCAGUUCCCUUGUUCAGGUUAGCUGUACCACUGUCUUUCUCUGCUCCUUUUUUGUUUGUUUUUGGAGACAGGGUCUCACUCCUUCACCCAGGCUGGAGUCCAAUGGCACGAACUUGGCUCACUACAACCCCCAUCUCCCAGGUUCAAGCAACUCUUGUGCCUCAGCCUUCCAAGUAGCUGGGAUUACAGGUAUUCACCACCAUACCUGGCUAAUUUUUGUAUUUUUUAGUAGAGAUGGGGUUUUGCCAUAUUACCCAGGCUGAUCUCAAACUCCUGACCUCAAGUGAUCCGCCCACCUCAGCCUCCCAAAGUGCUGGGAUUACAGGCAUGAGUCAUUGCGCCCGGCCUCUUUCUUUACUCCUAAUCCGUGAUUUGAGAGACUCAAACCAGCCAGAAAGACUCUCAGGGGUCUGGCGUCUUAAGGUUCGGGUUCUUCUCUUCACAGUGAAUUCAAAAAAGCCUCUGUCUCCUGACAGACCCCAAACUUUAAAAAAAAAAAAAAAGCCUCUGUCUUUUUGCUUUGGCAAAGGCUGGCAGGGGGUUAGAAAGCCACUGAUUCCAGGACAACGCAAGCUUAAGCUCAAGAGACCAGAGAUGGGGAUAGGAAGAAGGCCUAAUGAGGUGGAUAGUUCUAGAAAUCAGAAAGAAUGCUGAGUAGGUGAAGUCUGAGUGGUGACAACUUCACUGUCCUGUCUGCCUCACAGGAGCAGUUCUCUACAAGGCUCUUCCACACACACACACACAAGGCUCAGGGGCUCGGUGGGUACAAAAAGCCAGUGGAAACGGAUAAAUACCUAUAGCAUUAAUAGCAGAAGUAUGUCCAAGGUUUUGCACAGGGUAAUCACACAAUAACUGGCUUCAGACGUUUGCAGCCACAGGAAAAAACAGCUCUCAGCCUUAUGAGAUGGACAUUCCUAUACUAACUCCCGCUCUUUGUUGUAUUGAAUUUUGGCUGUUUCUUUCCCCACUCAACUGUGAGCAGAUGUGCACAGACUCCGAGAGGCAGACACCAGGAGGUCCAGGGACAUAGGUUGGUGAGGCAUGGCGGUCUAGUUGUGGGAGACAAUGAGCCCCAGAAGGUGUGGUGAGAGACAUGGUGGUAUGGGAAGUUGAGUUGUGUUUGGGGUGGUAUUGGGUGAUGGACAAGGACAGCAGUCAGCAGAGCCUUCGACCCAGCCCAAGCAGGCACCCCAUUGUGCUUAGGUUCCUGUCUGUGGUCCUGAUUUGGCUUUGCUUUUCUUGGGAGGAAGACGAAUCAGAAUCCUGGCAUCGUGGGCCCUCUAGUGAAAACUCGUCCUGGGGAGUAGGACAGCUGCUGAGAAGCAGAGAGGAAUGCGGCCAGCUGGGGAAAAUGGGACAGCAGGGGUCGGGGAGGUGAUUGGAAGGGCAGACACCGUAGUCCCCAGCUACCUGGCUUCAAGAGCCCCCGUUCCCCACACGCCUCUUCUUCUAAGGCAAGGUCUUUCCCUCUGGGGACUGACUGAGACAGCAGUCACUGGCCAGGCUCUUGGUACAAAGGCAGGAAGGGUAACUCUGAGAACGGGGCUUUCAGCCGCAGCACUCCGUGCUCCAGGUCGAUGCAGCACUGUGGGGUGUAGAGCAGUCAUGCCAGGUCACCUCAGCCCGCCACCUGCCUCCCGGCCGCUCCUUUAUUUCCCCCUCCCACUUCCCACAGCUUCCACCUGCCUUUUGCUCUUCCCCCAUCCCCAUUUCCCUAGACUCCUGUUGAAGGGGGUGACCCAGUUCUCUUGAUUUUUCACUUGGUGGUAAGUAAGGAACCUCUAAGGAAGCAAAGGGACAGUUGCCCAUCUCUAAGUCACUCUCAUCAGAACCUGGUCCAGGUUCCACACCUGUGCCUUCUACUACUUUUUCCCAGUGCUUUGGAUCAGGCCCUGAGUGGGUGCCUUACCUUGAGAGAAAGCAGAGUCUGCAGGCCCAGGCAGAAUUCAGGACUCUCAGCAUCUAUAGGAACAAUUUGAAAACAGAAGAGGCUAAGGGUUCCCAGUGGCCACUGCUGCCCUCCUCUUAGCCGUUGCUCCUUCUCUGCCCACCCCAUCCCCAGAUCCGAGGACACUGGCACAGAGAUGGGGGAUAGUCAGAACAUCUCUGGGAACUCCUCGUGCUGCAGGGACUGAAAGUCUUGGCCUUUGCCCCACCCCGAAGAGAAAGGUGAGGUGAGCACCAGGGCUGUUGCAGAAGGGGGGACUUACCCACCACCUGUGCCGAGCACACCACAGUCUCCUGCCCCAGCUGUAGCUCCAACUGCUCCACCUGGGUUGGGGGCCCAGGGGCCAGGUCCCCAGCUGAGGCUUUUAGGACCCUUUUCUCUAACCUGUGGUUGGGAAGCAAGGGUUAUGGCUACCACAGACCCUAGAGGGUUCCACCCCAUUAAUCAGCAGGUGUCCCUCUCUACUAUGGGUUCACCUCCAACCCCUGACCUCACGUGGGGUCUAAAUCCUUGCCUUCUCUGCCAGAGUCUUCUAGCCACUCUUUUGUUAAAUAACAGCUUUAUUGAGAUAAAAUAUGCAACUGUCGUCACUAUCUAAUUUGAGAAUAUUUUCAUCACCCCAAAAAGAAACCCUGUCCCCCACUUGCUUGUUUGGGCCACAUUCUUACCCCAGGCGGCUGAGACAUCCAGCAGAGAUCCGAUUGUAUUGGGUGCCUGUGUCAACGGCCACUCUAAGCAGCUGGUCCUGGCACUAAGAAAGAGGAAUCGUGGUGAAUCAGUGAGUCCCUAGGAGAAUGGGUUGGAAUUGGAUCCUUCAGUUUCCCAGCCCAUUGAUGAUUCCCUCCUAGAAAUGAGUGGAGAAAAUGAACUGUCUUUAAAACUGGCUUUUAUCGGGGCCAGGCGCGGUGGCUCACGCCUGUAAUCCCAGCACUUUGGAAGGCCGAGGCGGGUGGAUCACCUGAGGUCGGGAGUUCAAGACCAGCCUGACCAGGGUUUAGUAGAAACCCUGUCUCUACUAAAAAUACAAAAUUAGCUGGGUGUGGUGGCGCAUGCCUGUAAUCCCAGCUGCUCGGGAGGCUGAGGCAGGAGAAUCGCUUGAACCCGGGAGGCGGAGGUUGUGGUGAGCCAAGAUCGUGCCAUUACACUCCAGCCUGGGCAACAAGAGCAAAACUCUGUCUCAAAACAAACAAAAAAACUGGUUUUUAUGAGACUCAUACAGUAGGGGCAGAACUCCCAGAUAAAUAAGUCAAAAAAAGGAAGUGGACCAGGUGCGGUGGCUCAUGCUUGUAGUUCUAGCACUUUGGAGGCAAGAGGAUCACUUGAAGCCAGGAGUUCAAGACCAGCCUAGGCAACAUAGCAAGACUCUGUCUCUACAAAAAAUAAAAUGGAAAAAAAAAAAAAAAGUGGUUAUAUGUGAUGGGUUCAUAAGUUUGGGGAAGAUCUGCCAGAAAUGGAGAAACGGUGAUCUGUUUGUUUAGAGGAAUCCUUGGGAGUUUGAUGCCCUCCUGGUUCGAAAACUCCAGGUUAGGAAUAGAGGAAGGAUGAGAAGACUGGAAUCCCUGUUAGGAAACUCAUAUAUGGGUAACCAAGAAGUUCGCUAUUGGAAACAAAGGAAGACAACUUCACCUACUUUGGGACAUAGACAGACAUUUUGAUAUACACUUGGAUAUACACACACGUCGUUUUCUCAUUCCAAACAUUCAUUGAGUAUCUACUAUAAGAUAUGUUACCGGAAGGUACAUCAAUGAAUGCUAUUCUUUAGGAGUCUAAAGGAAGUAUAAUAUAACUCUACUAUAUGGCAGAAAGUUUUAUGGUCUAUAAAAGGAUGUGAAUGCCCUGGCCCUGUGGCUCACACCUAUCUAUAAUCCAAGCACUUUGGGAGGCCAAGGUGGAAGGAUCGCUUGAGGCCAGGAGUUCAGGACCAGCCUGACCAACGUGGUAGUAUAAAAAUACAAAAAAAGAAUUAGCCAGCUGUGGUGGCGCACACUUGUAAUUUUAGCUACUCAGAAGACUGAGGUGGGAGGAUUGCUUGAGUCCAGGAGGUUGAGGCUGCAGUGAGCUCUGAUCGUGCCACUACACUCCAGCCUGGGUGACAGAGUAAGAAUCUGUCUCUAAAAAAUAAACAAAAGGACCGGAAAAGUCGAGGGGUGCGGUGGCUCACGCCUGUAAUCCCAGCACUUUGGAGGCCGAGGUGGAUGGAUCACCUGAGGUCAGGAGUUUGAGACCAGCCUGACCAACCUGGAGAAACCCCAUCUCUACUGAAAAUACAAAAUUAGCCAGGCGUGGUGGCAUUUGCCUGUAAUCCCAGCUACUCGGGAGGCUGAGGCAGAAGAAUUGCUUGAAUCUAGGAGGCAGAGGUUGCGGUGAGCCAAGAUCACACCAUUGCACUCCAGCCUGGGCAACAAGAGCGAAACUCCGUCUCAAAAAAAAAAAAAAGUGCUCGGCGCAGUGGCUCACGCCUGUAAUCCCAGCACCAGGAAUUUGAGACCAGCCUGGCCAACCUGGUGAAACCCUGUCUCUACUAAAAAUACAAAAUUAGCCAAGUGUGGUAGUGUGGGCCUAUAGUCCCAGCUACUUAGGAGGCUGAGGCAGGAGAAUCGCUUGAACCCAGGAGGCAGAGGCUGCAGUGACGACACCAGAUCAUGCCACUGCACUCCAGCCUGGGUGACAGAGCGAGACUCUGUCUCAAAAAAAGAAAUUUUUUUUAAAAAAAGGACGUGAGUAACCUGCCUUAGAGGUUGGGAGGGAGGAAAGGCUGUUUCCUACUGGGGAAAUCAGAAAAGGUUUCAAGGAGGAGGUAACAUCUGAGCUGGGCUUUUGCUUGCAGAAUGCGGACCCAGAAUGAUUGGAGAGCAAGAAGAGCAAUCCACAUAGAAGAAGCACAGAGCAAAGACAGUGGCCGAGGACCAGUGGGAAUUUAUUGCGAACGUUCAAUAGUGACUGAGUGGUUAAGUGGUUCCAGAGAUUACAGGGCCAAUGCCUUAGAACACAUGAGUUUUUUCCAGAAUUACGUUAUCCAUGCACACACACCAUUUGUCUGUGUAGAGCACACUGAGGAGUACUUACUUAAUUUAAGUAUUGUAUUUUGACCAAGGAAUUGGGGCAGAGUAAUGGUGGUGACAGAUGGAGUUGCACCGAGGAGACAUGGGUUGGGGCAGGGAGGAAGGAGGUAGAGGAUCCUGGUUAGGUCCAGGCUAGGGAGAGAGGUGCCCUUUCUCCCUCCCUCCCUCUCCCAUCAGGGCAGAGCAGAAAGGAGAGCAGGUGAAGUGAGUGCAGGCAGGGUUGUUAAUGAAAGUGUGUCCCUGGGAGGCCUCUCACCUUGCAGUUGACCAGAAGAGCUGGAAUCUCUGUCUUGCUGGUCUUCCUCCUGCUCUCCUGGCCAUGAAUCAGGGCCUGCAUCCGGGGAGGCUCCCCCUGAAGCCAGUUCGGGUUUCCCUCCACGAGGCGUCUUUGGAUCACACUGCGCGGCUGCUGGCUCCAUCACAAAACAAUGAAGGAGGAAGUGGGACGCAGAGAGAAACGCACAUGGGGAGAACGCCACAUGAAGGCUGAGGUCGGGACAAUGCAUCUGCAAGCCAAGGAACACCUAAGAGGACCACCAGAAGCCAGGGGAGAGGCGUGGAACAGACCCUGCCUUACAGCUCUCAGAAGGAACCAACCCUGCCGACACCUUCCUGUUGUACUUUCAGCUUCCAGAACU